GGCCUCAACAACACUUUCCUCUCUCAAGGCUGCCUCCCUGAGCGGAUCCUGGCGAGAAGACUUUCCAAGGCCAGGGAAGAGUGGGAGGAGCCUGUGACCGCCUGGGUCAGUGGCGCUCCCGGCUGCAGGAGGUCACGUGGCAGUUACGCGCGCUGGACGACCUCCUCCAACCUCGCGAGAAGAGCUUAGCCGCUUAGCCGAGGCCCUUAACCCAGCUGGAGAGCUCACGUGGGCACGUGUUGGAUGCUGUCAUCAUUCUCGAAGGACCGGAAGAGGCUGGCUGGUUCUCCCGAGGUCCGGGGUGUUCAGGAAAUGCCCAUGCUGGCGGCAUCCCGAAGUCGCCUGGAAUUCCAGGCUUGAAGACAUGAAUGUAUUCCUGUUUAUUACUGACCUUGAAAUAAUCCCAAAUGUGAAAAGCUGUUUGACUCCCAUCACAGAACUACAUAUGUGUGUGUAUUCAUAGACUUGCAGUGUUCACUAGAGGAGAAAUAGUCCACGUCCUACAAACUCCUGGCUUCCUACUGGAGAAGUAAGAUUCUAGAAUCUGGAUCAAGUGGAAUGAAAUUCAGUUUCUACACAAACCAAAAGUGUGGACUGGAUUUAGGAUUUGCUCCCAAACAAUAAGAGCACAGAACGGGGAAAAUGGCAACUUUACAGGAAGAAAUCUGUCAGACCGCACCUUACCCAAGUCACGCAGGAGCCCUGUCACAGUCCAUGAGGAGUGGCACUCCCUAGCACUGAAUGGAAGGAGGAACGGAAGAGGAUUUGGAGACCGUGUUGCCAGUUCUGUUACCAAGGUAAAUGGAAAAACGAAGCAGUACCUGAGGAGAUAAUAACCACUCAAGGGAGUGUUGGAUCUUUGUUUUCUUUAUUGAAAUACAGGAAGUUGUCAAUGGGAAUGCUCCAAUUGGGAGGAAAAAAAUAGGUUUUUGCAAGAGAGAGGGGAUAAUUGCAGAGAUGGUCUUGAAUGAAUUGGAGGUGAUGACGUCCAAAGAACAAGUUGAAGGAUUUGACUCAGGCACAGGGAUGUUCAAAAAGAGAGAAGGAACUAUGGAUGCAGAGGUAGUAAUGAAUUCGAUUUGGUUAUGGCAAGAUGCUAUGAUUUUCUUCUGGUUGCUUUUAUCUUUUUUGUAUGCUGACUUGUGUCAACAAAGGAAUCCGGUGGGUCCUUUCUGAAGAUCCCUGAGGCAAGUCCAAGUUAGAUAUGUUUCUGUCCAUCAAACUUGGUCUAGAGCAUACAGAAGCAUCCCUGUGACUGCUUCUAGUUUACUUCCUAUGAAUGUUAUAUCACAGUCUCUCAAAUUUUUCUAACCCCCAACAACAUGGUAGAAAAAGCCAUAGACUUUGCCAUAGGAAUUGAAGAGAACAUCUUUAUUUUCUAGAUGAAAGAAAACUCUAAAUUAGAUUAUGGAAUUAUGCUAAUGAUUUUAGAGAAUACUUGAAAUACUUAAUGAAUUUGUUUGACUAAUGUUCAUAAAGACACGCGGUACUGCUGCAUUUCUUUCUUCCUUUUUUUUUUUUUUUUUAAUUUCAGGAAUAGAAUUUAGUGAUUGAUCACUUACAUAUAACACCCAGUGCUCAUCCCAACAAGUGCCCUCCUAAUGCUCAUUGCCCAUUUAGCCCAUCCCCACCCACCUCCUCUCUAGCAACCCUCAGUUUGUUCUCUGUAUUUAAGAGUCUCUUAUGGGGGCACCUGGAGGUUCAGUCGGUUAAGUGUCCAACUUCAGCUCAGGUCAUGAUCUUACGGCUUGUGAGUUCAAGUCCCACGUUGGGCUCUAUGCUGGCAGCUCAGAGCCUGGAGCCUGCUUCAGAUUCUGUGUCUCUUUCUCUCUCUGCCUCUCUCUCUCUC